rnacentral:lncRNA from 1 species
ACGGGAACCUGCCCUGCUGCACCCGGAGGCGCUGCAAAUGCCUGAGGAGACAGGGCGAGGGGAGUGGAGCGGUUGCCUGGAGAAAUCAAGACGGAGCAAGGGCUGAGGAAGACCACGGGCAGCGGGGAAGGCCUGUCAUUAGCCCCGGAGGAGAGGGGAGAUGCUGCCCCCUGCCCCACAGCUGACCUUGGUGUG